GUGAGGAGGAGGAGGAGGAGGAGGAUGUGGCGCGCGGAGGGGAAAUGGCUGCCGAAAACAAGCCGGAAGGCUUCCAAGUUGUCACUGACCAAAUGAUCAUGGUAACAGCAAUGGCAGUCAUGUAAAAAUUUUCCUACCCAAGAAGCUGCUU